GACGGGGGGGGCAAGUGUUCUUCGGAAUGACUGGGCGUAAAGGGCACGUAGGCGGUGAAUCAAUCGGGUUGAAAGUGAAAGUCGCCAAAAAGUGGCGGAAUGCUCUCGAAACCAAUUCACUUGAGUGAGACAGAGGAGAGUGGAAUUUCGUGUGUAGGGGUGAAAUCCGUAAAUAUACGAAGGAACGCCAAAAGCGAAGGCAGCUCUCUGGGUCCCUACCGACGCUGGGGUGCGAAAGCAUGGGGAGCGAACAGG
rnacentral:rRNA from 1 species